AGUGAACGCUGGCGGUAGGCCUAACACAUGCCAGUCGAACGGCAGCACAGGAGAGCUUGCUCUCUAGGUGGCGAGUGGCGGACGGGUGAGGAAUACAUCGGAAUCUGCCCAGUCGUGGGGGAUAACGUAGGGAAACUUACGCUAAUACCGCAUACGACCUUCGGGUGAAAGAGGGGGAUCGCAAGACCUCUCGCGAUUGGAUGAGCCGAUGUCGGAUUAGCUAGUUAGCGGGGUAAUGGCCCACCAAGGCGACGAUCCGUAGCUGGUCUGAGAGGAUGAUCAGCCACACUGGAACUGAGACACGGUCCAGACUCCUACGGGAGGCAGCAGUGGGGAAUGUUGGACAAUGGGCGCAAGCCUGAUCCAGCCAUACCGCGUGGGUGAAGAAGGCCUUCGGGUUGUAAAGCCCUUUUGUUGGGAAAGAAAUCUUUCAGGCUAAUACCCUGGGAGGAUGACGGUACCCAAAGAAUAAGCACCGGCUAACUUCGUG
rnacentral:rRNA from 1 species